rnacentral:ncRNA from 1 species
GAGCGCUGGGCAACCGGUGGCGAUCGGUCGGCAGAAGUCAGCCGAGGGCAUAGUAGGGGCCAGUCUGUGGCGCCGAAGGCU